GAGAUGCGCGCGAGCCCCUCCGCUCUCUGCCCAGCCUUUCCUUCCAGCCUCGCUCGCGCCCCUGUCUCAAAGGCCUCAUAGGACUCCCAGAGUCUCCUAUAGUCGGGAGCCCCCAGCCCCCUUCCGGACAUGGAGUGAUUGGUGGGGAGGCGGCGGUUGGGAAAAGGGGGUCGGUCAACCGAUUGAUUCCAGUUUCCCCUUCCCAAGUCAGGCUCUCCAAGCUUGUAAAGAGUAGAAGAACCGGACAUUGGUGGAGGAAUUCAAACAAGAGAGCCCGGAGGCGUCCUCUGCUGUGGCCCAGAGCUAGCGCCUACUCCACGAAGCUCAGCUGGGGUUAACAGGCUUCUGUUAAAAUUUCCCGGGCACUGGGAAAAUUUCAGGUGCCUUCGCCUCGGUGGACUCCUUUCCCUGCUAACAAAAUUAUUAAAAAUAAGAUUUUGCAACUGCGUUGGCAUAAGGAAAAGUAUAUUAAUAUUGCAUAUUAAAACAUGUUCUUCAGCCUAAA